GCCAGACUCCUACGGGAGGCAGCAGUGGGGAUAUUGCACAAUGGGGGGAACCCUGAUGCAGCGACGCCGCGUGGGUGAAGGAGCGUUUCGGCGCGUAAAGCCCUAUCGGCAGGGAAGAAGGAGGACGGUACCUGACUAAGAAGCCCCGGCUAACUACGUGCCAGCAGCCGCGGUAAUACGUAGGGGGCAAGCGUUAUCCGGAUUUACUGGGUGUAAAGGGGGCGCAGACGGCAGAGCAAGUCUGAAGUGAAAGCCCGCGGCCCAACUGCGGGACUGCUUUGGAAACUGCCCGGCUAGAGUGCUGGAGAGGUAAGCGGAAUUCCUAGUGUAGCGGUGAAAUGCGUAGAUAUCAGGAGGAACACCGGCGGCGAAGGCGGCCUGCUGGACCGUAACUGACGGUGAGGCGCGAAAGCGUGGGGAGCAAACAGGAUUAGAUACCCUUGUACAU
rnacentral:rRNA from 1 species